CGAACGGGUGAGUAAUGCGUGACCAACCUGCCCCAUGCUCCAGAAUAGCUCUUGGAAACGGGUGGUAAUGCUGGAUGCUCCAACUUGACGCAUGUCUUGUUGGGAAAGUGUUUAGUGGCAUGGGAUGGGGUCGCGUCCUAUCAGCUUGUAGGCGGGGUAAUGGCCCACCUAGGCUUCGACGGGUAGCCGGCCUGAGAGGGCGGACGGCCACAUUGGGACUGAGAUACGGCCCAGACUCCUACGGAGGCAGCAGUG
rnacentral:rRNA from 1 species